UACGUAGGGACCAAGCGUUGUUCGGAUUUACUGGGCGUAAAGGGCGCGUAGGCGGCGUGUUAAGUCACUUGUGAAAUCUCUAAGCUUAACUUAGAACGGUCAAGUGAUACUGAUGUGCUAGAGUGCAGAAGGGGCAACCGGAAUUCUUGGUGUAGCGGUGAAAUGCGUAGAUAUCAAGAGGAACACCUGAGGUGAAGACGGGUUGCUGGGCUGACACUGACGCUGAGGCGCGAAAGCUAGGGGAGCAAACGGG
rnacentral:rRNA from 1 species